rnacentral:lncRNA from 1 species
AACAACGCACAGCAGGAGCGAGCACUUUCCAAAAUGUUCGCAGAAUGGAAAAAAAAUUUCAGCUCACCUAAUGUCACACGUACACGUCAUUGGAAAAAAACAUUCUUCUCCUGUAUUCACCCUCAUGUGUGAGGUUUUUUGGUGACGUUUCCCCCGUGAACAGCUGGGAUUUCAGGUUUCCAGUUAUUAUAGAGGCAAAUGGCAUGAGAGAACAUCAUUCCCAGAUAGCAUCUUGCGUAUAUGGUUUUUUAUUUUCCACCGGCAAGCUUGUUCUAUGAAUCUUGAACAUUUUUUGCAUGGAAAUACAGAGUUUGUAGAGCGUGUUUGUUCACAACACUGACGUCCUCCGAAAGAUCCAAGCGAUCAGUGAACCUUUUUGUAAGUUCUAAGAUUGAGAUGAGAGAAACUUAUUUUUCUGCUCCUCGAUAAUUUUUCUAAUUGUGCAAAAAUGUGAUUUAAUUCAUAUUCUACCGUUCAGUGUGUUUACUUCUGUGACAUCUCCACACAAUAAUUUCUAAUCAAUCAACACUCAACCGUUACAUCAAGAGAAAUGAUUCCAGCUUUUACAUUUAAAAUCUUCCAACGCGCGCGGAAAAGUGAAGAACGUGAUUUUUGACUUUUGAUCGGUCUAAACUGAUAUAUUUAUUUCAGAGCUGUUUACUUACGCACAAGAAUACCUUACGUAAUGUAAACUAUAAAAGUGGAUUAAAAUGAGUGUCUUUUGUAUUUCAACUAAAAAAGUAUCUACGGUGAUUUCAUUUGCCUGUAUGUGGGCUUAUAUAGAUGACCAUUGUUCUAACUGGAGCUUAGUUUUAAGUAUACAAUUUCUUCCACAUUUACGUCCGCGCUAAAGGUGGUGCCAUUGAUUUUCGUGUUUGCGUUUGAUACAUGUGGGACUUAUUUCCCGAGGGCGACCAUUUGUGCCAGUCAUGUUUCGUAAGCUGUACUGUUUUGCUCUUGUGCAAUUCCUUUUGUUUCAAGAGACAGUCUCAAGGCCUGGUUUCGCAGGAGAAAUUCGAAAUUCAGAACGAGCGAUGCAGAUUGAGAAGCGCCCACAGAAAAUUCCUAAGAUGCCGAAUAUGAGAAAAAUCUUUAUCGUAUCUGGAAUUAAAACACUCACGCCGGGUUCAGGAAGUCAGAGUCUAGUACGAAGAAGUUUUAAAACAAAAGUGAAAAUGGUCAGACAAGUUUCUAAAGAUAUUCUGAAAGUAGUGAAAAGUAUAAGAAAACACAAGGGCCGACCUCCAGUCUUGGAGACGAAACCAAAAGGCAUCGACGUAGAAUACCCAAAUAAACCAUGGCAACAGAUGUUUACGCAGAGAAAGUAUAAACCGAGAGGUGCGAUCAAAGAGAAGCUGACCAAAAUUACUAUCUGUGGUUUUCCUACGGUUCUGGAGAUUUAAAAGGUGACAAAAGCGCUGGUUUAUAUUGCUCAUUUAUCAACAAUAAGGAAUGGACUGGAGUCAGCUACGAAAAAAAUCAUUUACACCGAAAUUACUUAUACUUUAGCUUUUACAGAAAAAACGUGAAUGUUUCUUUCGAUUCCCCCCUGCAUGUAAUAUAAUACAUCUGAAUACAAUUAUAAAUUGUUUUUCAAUGGUUUUUUUCUUUCUGUCUCUUUGUUUCUCAUUUUUACUUUUUUUUUUUUUUUUUUUUUUUUUUUUGGAUGAAAGAGUCAUGUUUAUUCUUUCGUCGACCUGGACAUAUCACGUGAUCGAGAUAGGGCCUGCUUCUCAACCAAUCAGCUUGCGUGUUUUUGGAUUCCAAUCGCGUUUUCUCUAUUGAAUGAAAUACGUAAUUUUUCGCUCUUUUAUACACAUCAUUUUUAUUUUCUUACUGCUCUAAGUAUGUGUGUGAAAAGUCUCUACAAAAUUUGAUGUAUAGGAGUUGUUUAAAUGACCUCUGGUGCUUAAAUAAAUACAUUUAUUUGAACAUCUUUCAGUAUUUUAGAAAUGAUAGCUCAUGCACUAUGCAGUAACUCGUAUUUCUUUGAAAGCUCUUGUUUGGUUUCCUCAAAACUCGAUUCAAAGGUUGUCAUUUGCCAUCGUUACACUGUGAGUCUGGUCCUUUUAUUUUUACGCGGCUUGAUACAACGAGAAAUCUGUCGUGGUGGUCUGGCUGGAGAAAGUGACCAUAGACAAUACACGCGUCGAGGGAUGCUUUUGGCGCCAAACUGUCGCGACGAAAAGUUGAUAGUUGAGGUGUUGCCUAGCAACUCAGGCUCCGUCCCUGCGAAAGUUUCGCGCUAACUGGAGGGUGCCUCAUCGGAUUUUUUGCGCGGCGAUUAAACAUGGUCGGAGGAGACUGCUUGAGAAAUUAAAAACAGAAAAUACGAAUCAAAAAUUAUGAGAGUUUAGUAAUGCAAAAGGUAUAUAGCUCCUUGACAUAUUAUUCCAUGUAUAAGCAACAAAAUGCAACAUACGAAGAAUACGAACUUGUGCAA